AUUAGGAUUCCAGCAAGUAUGAAACUUAUGCCAGCUGUCAGCAAUAAGCAGCUCUGGUUCCAUCUGUUCCUUCUGCAGCACUGAUUAAACAGAAUGCCAGUUAGAGCAUUAAUAAAAGCAAAAACGGCAAAUAGCACUGCAAAGGACAUCAGAACUCUUGCACCCUUCAAAUCAGGUGUCAUGGAUAAAGACUGGGAAUAAUAUUGACAAUUUAAUGGGUUGUUGGAUUGCUUUACACAGGUCAUCCACAGUCCAUCCCAACGACUUAUCCAGUGCCCAUCAAUGCGUCUUCCAUUUUCCGAAGACCGGACAUCCAUCCUCAACCAAGCAGCAGAAGUCCUCAGCGAAGCCGGCAGAAGUCUUCAUCCAAGCGGGCCGAAGUCUUCAUCCAGACGGCAUCUUCUAUCUUCAUCCAUCCAGCGCAGAGCAGCUCCAUCUUCAAGAUCAGGUGCUGAGCAUCCUCUUCUCCCGAUGGUCAACAAAGAAUGAAGGUUCCCUUUAAGGUGAAAAAGUUUUCUUGUAGCCUCUAAUGCGCUGGAGAGCCACGCUAAUCCUAAUUGGAGGCGUAGCACGGCAGAUCCCAGAUCCAAUCGCUAGUGGACUUUCUCCUGUAAUGCAGGCUCUAUGAUGCGCUGUGCUGCGAAGAAGGCUGGGGAUUAGCGCGCUAGAGACACAUGGGUUAUACCAGCAAAAUAUGGAUCCCCCCAUGAAGAAAAGCAACACUGUGGGCCAGCCGAGAAAUAUGGCUUCCCCAAGUUCCUGUUGCUGAACAGAUUUACAGGAGGAAAAGCAAACAUCUUUCCAGACGUUACUUGCAGUCCAUGUCACAGAUACUAGAAUUAGGAUUCCAGCAAGUAUGAAACUUAUGCCAGCUGUCAGCAAUAAGCAGCUCUGGUUCCAUCUGUUCCUCCUGCAGCACUGAUUAAACAGAAUGCCAGUUAGAGCAUUAAUAAAAGCAAAAACGGCAAAUAGCACUGCAAAGGACAUCAGAACUCUUGCACCCUUCAAAUCAGGGGUCAUGGAUAAAGACUGGGAAUAAUAUUGACAAUUUAAUGGGUUGUUGGAUUGCUUUACACAGGUCAUCCACAGUCCAUCCCAACGACUUAUCCAGUGCCCAUCAAUGCGUCUUCCAUGUGAGCCGUUCUCCAUGACAAUGGACACUUUCCAGUGGGGCAUUGCACAAACAGCAAUUGCCAAAACUGUUGCAACGCCAUUGAGAAUCAUACCAAUGAUUUGCACAAUGCAGCUUUUAGUGACUUGUUCCCUUUCAGCUCCUGCCAUUCUGUAAAGAUGUAGGAAGUCAAAUCCUUUCAGUGCUUCUGAGGAAAGUAACACUGUCUAUUUCUGGAUUCUCAUAUGACGGUGCUUCAUUUCUAAAUUGUGCUUUAAUACUUUAAGACAGAAAUGUUUUGAUGCCUUACAGUUAACCUGGCACGUGUAUUAACUUAUGUUCUCAAUAUCAUGAUAUGUAGAGGAGUGGCUUAAAAAGGAAACAUGCUGAUUAAUCAUUAUGAUACACUCUUCAUAGUUUCUUUUGUACAAAAAUAAAAAGUCAGUACAUUUUCAGGCUAUGUUUAGUUGCUACGCAGAAGACAGGAAAACUUGGUGUUUAGGAAAAAAGGGUGUAACUUUGGAAUGUUGAACACUCCAUUCAUAUGAUAAAACAUACUGAAGAACAUUAUGCUAGCAUGUAAGGGAACACAAUAGUGCAAUGGAAAUUAUUAGGAAAGAAGUGUUCUCCCUAAUUGUUAAUGUCUGUUAUAGAAUUGCAAAGUCAUUUGCAGCUGUUUUAACAUUACAGUAGAGUCUGUAUA